UACGUAGGGGCCGAGCGUUGUCCGGAGUUAUUGGGCGUAAAGCGCGCGCAGGCGGCUUCGCGCGCCCGCCGUGAAAGCCCCGGCUUAACCGGGGAGAGUCGGUGGGGACGGCGGAGCUUGAGGGCGGGAGAGGUCGGUGGAAUUCCCGGUGUAGUGGUGAAAUGCGUAGAGAUCGGGAGGAACACCUGUGGCGAAGGCGGCGACCUGGCCAAUCACUGACACUGAGACGCGAAAGCGUGGGGAGCAAACAGG
rnacentral:rRNA from 1 species